UACGAAGGGGGCUAGCGUUGUUCGGAAUUAUUGGGCGUAAAGCGCACGUAGGCGGUUAUUUAAGUCAGGGGUGAAAUCCCGCAGCUCAACUGCGGAACUGCCUUUGAUACUGGGUAUCUUGAGUAUGGUAGAGGUAAGUGGAAUUCCGAGUGUAGAGGUGAAAUUCGUAGAUAUUCGGAGGAACACCAGUGGCGAAGGCGGCUUACUGGGCCAUUACUGACGCUGAGGUGCGAAAGCGUGGGGAGCAAACAGG
rnacentral:rRNA from 1 species